GCUCUAAUUCGCUGUCGCCGGCCUGAUUUCUCUCAAUUUAUUGCUACCAGUGCCAUUUGGUGACCUUCUCCCUUGAUUUGGAGUGUAAACUUAAUUCGUAGACGUCACAUCAGAAUUAAUAAUGCACAUUUCGGUAAUUAUUUUUUUUUUUUUUACUAAAGAUAGGAGACUCGAACCCGCAACCUCUUAAUUGAGUAUGGGGAGACUAUGCCAUUUGAGUUAUUACUCAUUGACUCGGUAACUAUUUUUAGUCGUGCGUAUAUUGAGAAAUAAAAUAUUUUUAAUAUUUAUUUAUAUAAAAAAGUCAAACAUAUUUACCAAUAGUUGUGUUCUAAGACCUAAUAUGUGUUUAUUCAAGCUUUUUUAAGUGAGAUUUCAAUCGUCCACGAAAUGGAAAAAUGCUUAAGCACUUCAAUUAUACUAGGAAGAUAUUUAUACCGUUGUUUUCGUGUACGUGUGUGUAUAUAUAUUGGCUAAGCUAGGAAAAUUAGUUUGUUGUUAUAUGUCGUUUCAAUUAUUCUUGAGUUUCAACACUUCAAUAAUUGUCAUUUCUCUAAGUCAAUAGUAGCUACUAGCUACCUAUAGGGGGAAAAACACUUUCAUAUACAUAUUCAACAAAAUGUGAAAUAAAUGGGGUAAACUAUAUUUAUCUUUAAGAUUUAUAAUUUUUUUUAAAAAUAUUCUUAACGUUUAAUUUAUUCAAUUUUAUUUGUAAUAUUUUCGAUUCAUUCAACUUUUUGCUAAUGUUUUUGAUUUAUUUCAAAAUUACUCUUAAAAUUUUAAAUUUUGUCCCUAAUACAUAAAAUUAACAUUCAGAGAUAGAGUUGAUAUUAAAAUAAAUCCUCCAAUAAAUCGAAGAAGAUUUCAGCACUUUUAAUUAGAUUUAUAAGUGUUGUUUGUGCUAUUGAUUUGGCUGUUUUAAUACUUUUGUUUGUAUGGACUUUAUUUUCUUAUUAUCGUACAAUUUAUACUUUAUAUAAAGCAGUAAUAACUUUCCUAAUUAUUCUGUUGUAUAUUCCUUCAUAUUUUCUUCUCUAAUCAACAUGUUUGUCCGCGUAAUAACAAAUAAGAA
rnacentral:lncRNA from 1 species